GAUGAACGCUGGCGGCGUGCCUAAUACAUGCAAGUCGAGCGAAUGGAUUGAGAGCUUGCUCUUAUGAAGUUAGCGGCGGACGGGUGAGUAACACGUGGGUAACCUGCCCAUAAGACUGGGAUAACUCCGGGAAACCGGGGCUAAUACCGGAUAACAUUUUGAAACGCACGGUUCGAAAUUGAAAGGCGGCUUCGGCUGUCACUUAUGGAUGGACCCGCGUCGCAUUAGCUAGUUGGUGAGGUAACGGCUCACCAAGGCAACGAUGCGUAGCCGACCUGAGAGGGUGAUCGGCCACACUGGGACUGAGACACGGCCCAGACUCCUACGGGAGGCAGCAGUAGGGAAUCUUCCGCAAUGGACGAAAGUCUGACGGAGCAACGCCGCGUGAGUGAUGAAGGCUUUCGGGUCGUAAAACUCUGUUGUUAGGGAAGAACAAGUGCUAGUUGAAUAAGCUGGCACCUUGACGGUACCUAACCAGAAAGCCACGGCUAACUACGUGCCAGCAGCCGCAGUAA
rnacentral:rRNA from 1 species